GUCCAUGAUUUUACAAACACAUCCAAUUAACUGUACCAGAAUCUUCCCUUCGCUCCCCACUGCCCACCCUCUCACCUCUCUCUAUACAUUUCUCUCCGCUCAUCAACGAGAACCUGAUCCCCAAAUUAAAAAAAACUAGGUUUAGGGUUUCAUCGAUCCCACUCGAUCAAAUGGCAUUAAGGAAGCUCUACAGCGAAAUUAAGGGCUUGAAAGUUAAGGAAUUGCCCGACCACGUGAAGCCGAUGCUAUCAAUUGGUUAUGUGAAGAAAGCAGUGCAAAGAGGAAUGGAUAAUUACCAUGCGAAGUAUAUAGAAACAAGCUCAAUCGAUCCACUUCUUCAUGUUUGCUAUGGUGGCAUGAUUUUGUCUUACCUUAUUGCUCUUCCUGAGGAACGCCGUCAUCUUGAGCACCAGCAACAUGCUAAGGAGCAUGGUGGGCACUAGGGAGUGACGGUUUUUAUCGUUCUUUUUAUUAAAGGACUCGGUGAACCUUCUGGAAUUUGCUUUGGUGACCAUUUAUUUGCUUGGUGUUUUUUCGGUAUUUCUGGAUAUUGUAGACUGGAAGAUACGGUCUUUGCCAAUGGUUUGCAGUCUGAAAUGAUGAAAUAAAAUACUUUUGACUGGUUGAACUCAUUACUUUUGUGAUCCACUGUUAAAAUGAAUGGUUACAAGAGAAACAACUGUGUUUUUGUUAUUGAUUACUACGUUCUUAUCAAAGAUCAA